rnacentral:rRNA from 1 species
GACGUAGGGCGCGAGCGUUGUCCGGAUUUAUUGGGCGUAAAGAGCUCGUAGGCGGCUCGUUGCGUCGGCUGUGAAAACCCGCAGCUCAACUGUGGGCUUGCAGCCGAUACGGGCGGGCUGGAGUUCGGUAGGGGAGACUGGAAUUCCUGGUGUAGCGGUGAAAUGCGCAGAUAUCAGGAGGAACACCGGUGGCGAAGGCGGUUCUCUGGGCAUGAUCUGACGCUGAGGAGCGAAAGUGUGGGGAGCGAACAGG